rnacentral:rRNA from 1 species
AUUGAACGCUGGCGGAAUGCUUUACACAUGCAAGUCGAACGGCAGCACGGACUUCGGUCUGGUGGCGAGUGGCGAACGGGUGAGUAAUGUAUCGGAACGUGCCCAGUCGUGGGGGAUAACGUAGUGAAAAUUACGCUAAUACCGCAUACGAUCUAUGGAUGAAAGCGGGGGAUCGCAAGACCUCGCGCGAUUGGAGCGGCCGAUAUCAGAUUAGGUAGUUGGUGGGGUAAAGGCCCACCAAGCCAACGAUCUGUAGCUGGUCUGAGAGGACGACCAGCCACACUGGAACUGAGACGCGGUACAGGCGCCUACGGGAGGCAGCAGUGGGGAAUUGUAGACAAUGGGCGAUAGCCUGAUCCAGCACUUCCGCGUGCAGGAUGAUGGCCCUCGGGUUGUAAACUGCUUUUGUACAGAACGAAAGGGUUUCUACUAAUACUAGGAGCUCAUGACGGUACUGUAAGAAUAAGCACCGGCUAACUACGUGCCAGCCGCCGCCGUAA